rnacentral:lncRNA from 1 species
AUCUUCCAAUCUCUUGAUCUGGCAUGGACACUUCUUCGCAUCUUUCCUCGUGAGCUUCUCCACCGUAUACCAGGAAAGACCCUUGACCAGUACUACAGCCGUGAUGCAGCUAAUUGAUGAAGAAGCCCUCUCGUACUGACAUGUACCUUGCUGCCUCAUUGGUUUUGUCUACAAUUUGUUUAUUCACCAGCUUUUUGAUAUAGGUUGCAUUUCUCCGUUGAGCAGAAAUAAUAAAGGUUGUAGUCCACUUGAGGCCCCCGUGCGAAGCUCUUCGUCUAGUCAAAAGAUGCAAAUAUUCUCUCAGUGGAGUGC